rnacentral:rRNA from 1 species
AGCAUUAUACCGUGAAACUGCGAAUGGCUCAUUAAAUCAGUUAUCGUUUAUUUGAUAGUACCUUACUACUUGGAUAACCGUGGUAAUUCUAGAGCUAAUACAUGCUGAAAACCCCAACUUCGGGAGGGGUGUAUUUAUUAGAUAAAAAACCAACGCCCUUCGGGGCUUCUUGGUGAUUCAUGAUAACUUUGCGGAUCGCAUGGCCUUGCGCCGGCGACGGUUCAUUCAAAUUUCUGCCCUAUCAACUUUCGAUGGUAAGGUAUUGGCUUACCAUGGUUUCAACGGGUAACGGGGAAU